rnacentral:rRNA from 1 species
UCAGUUGUGAAAGUUUGCGGCUCAACCGUAAAAUUGCAGUUGAUACUGGAUAUCUUGAGUGCAGUUGAGGCAGGCGGAAUUCGUGGUGUAGCGGUGAAAUGCUUAGAUAUCACGAAGAACUCCGAUUGCGAAGGCAGCCUGCUAAGCUGCAACUGACAUUGAGGCUCGAAAGUGUGGGUAUCAAACAGGAUUAGAUACCCUGGUAGUCCACACGGUAAACGAUGAAUACUCGCUGUUUGCGAUAUACAGCAAGCGGCCAAGCGAAAGCGUUAAGUAUUCCACCUGGGGAGUACGCCGGCAACGGUGAAACUCAAAGGAAUUGACGGGGGCCCGCACAAGCGGAGGAACAUGUGGUUUAAUUCGAUGAUACGCGAGGAACCUUACCCGGGCUUAAAUUGCAGAUGAAUUACGGUGAAAGCCGUAAGCCGCAAGGCAUCUGUGAAGGUGCUGCAUGGUUGUCGUCAGCUCGUGCCGUGAAGUGUCGGCUUAAG